rnacentral:rRNA from 1 species
AGUGAACGCUGGCGGUAGGCCUAACACAUGCAAGUCGAACGGCAGCACAGUAAGAGCUUGCUCUUACGGGUGGCGAGUGGCGGACGGGUGAGGAAUACAUCGGAAUCUACUUUUUCGUGGGGGAUAACGUAGGGAAACUUACGCUAAUACCGCAUACGACCUACGGGUGAAAGCAGUGGAUCUUCGGACCUUGCGCGAUUGAAUGAGCCGAUGUCGGAUUAGCUAGUUGGCGGGGUAAAGGCCCACCAAGGCGACGAUCCGUAGCUGGUCUGAGAGGAUGAUCAGCCACACUGGAACUGAGACACGGUCCAGACUCCUACGGGAGGCAGCAGUGGGGAAUAUUGGACAGUGGGCGCAAGCCUGAUCCAGCCAUACCGCGUGGGUGAAGAAGGCCUUCGGGUUGUAAAGCCCUUUUGUUGGGAAAGAAAAGCAGCAGGUUAAUACCCCGCUGUUCUGACGGUACCCAAAGAAUAAGCACCGGCUAACUUCGUG